rnacentral:rRNA from 1 species
ACGUGGGAACGUGCCUUUUGGUUCGGAAUAGCUCCUGGAAACGGGUGGUAAUGCCGAAUGUGCCCUUCGGGGGAAAGAUUUAUCGCCAUUAGAGCGGCCCGCGUCUGAUUAGCUAGUUGGUGAGGUAAAGGCUCACCAAGGCUACGAUCAGUAGCUGGUCUGAGAGGAUGACCAGCCACAUUGGGACUGAGACACGGCCCAAACUCCUACGGGAGGCAGCAGUGGGGAAUCUUGCGCAAUGGGCGAAAGCCUGACGCAGCCAUGCCGCGUGAAUGAUGAAGGUCUUAGGAUUGUAAAAUUCUUUCACCGGGGACGAUAAUGACGGUACCCGGAGAAGAAGCCCCGGCUAACUUCGUGCCAGCAGCCGCGGUAAUACGAAGGGGGCUAGCGUUGCUCGGAAUUACUGGGCGUAAAGGGAGCGUAGGCGGACAUUUAAGUCAGGGGUGAAAUCCCAGAGCUCAACUCUGGAACUGCCUUUGAUACUGGAUGUCUUGAGUGUGAGAGAGGUAUGUGGAACUCCGAGUGUAGAGGUGAAAUUCGUAGAUAUUCGGAAGAACACCAGUGGCGAAGGCGACAUACUGGCUCAUUACUGACGCUGAGGCUCGAAAGCGUGGGGAGCAA